ACCGUGUCCUACCUCCUUCUGUGACCAAGUAACACAUAUGCUCAAGGACAUCAUCUAUUGAAUCUCUCUUCCAUCCACUUCUAGCAGUAAUCUGACAGUAGCAGUUUUUCCAAACUGGAAAAACUCAUUUUUCUUAAAUGAUACUUAACAAUACUCAUUUACUGUACUAUGAGUGCAUUUUAUAAUAACUAUUAAUUAAGUGUUUUUUGUCCUCUCUUCUUCAUUUCAAUACAUGAUAGUAGAUGAUUUUUUUAAGUAAAAUACAUGAAUUAAGUUUUCCAAAAUAGAGAAUACUUUUGACAUUAGUACAAGUAAAUACAAGAACUUUAUUUUAAAAAUAGAAGUAAAUACAAGUAAAUGAACUAUUAAGUAGAUGUGCAAUGUCUGACUGUAAGAUUAUACUUAAUCAAUCAAUCAUAAAAACUUACUAGGGUCAAAUAAAGUUCAAUAGAUAUGAUAGUAGAAAUGACAAUGUGAUAUUAUAUCAACAAUACAGACUAAUAAAUGAAAUACUGACUAAAGUACCAAUUGGUGCUGUAACAGUUGAACUUCACAGAAACACUUUUGUUUUUGAAACAGGAGAAUCAAACAGCACCCUUUGGAAUAAUGGGGAGCCACCAUAUGAUGGAUUCCCAGUAACUAAUAUUGAUAAAAACAAUCUUGUAUUAGUUGUUAUAUACAAUGUGGCAGCUACUGGUGGCCUUGUUUUUGCAUGUGCUUGUUUCACUUUCAAUUUUGUGUUUAGAAGAAGAAAGAUCGUUAAACUGACAAGUUGUAACCUAAAUAAUAUAAUCAUACUGGGAUCUGCAUUGCUAUAUACAAGUAUUUUCUUUUAUUCUUACUCUUCAAACAACAAGACUAUACGAACAGUAUUCUGUAAUGUAAGCUAUACAAAACCACUAUUAUGUUUGUUUUUAAUGUACACAGUGGUGAGUACUCUAUGGUGGUCGCCCUUGGGCUAUACCUACAGGCUUGGUGCCUAUUGCAUCAUAUAGCACUCACUGCUGUGUUAUUACUAUUCUGUAAUGUAAGCUAGCUAUAA